rnacentral:rRNA from 1 species
UACGUGGGGGGCAAGCGUUGUCCGGAAUUAUUGGGCGUAAAGAGCGUGUAGGCGGUCCGGUAAGUCAGCUGUGAAGUCAAGGGCUCAACCCUUGAAUGCCGGUUGAUACUGUCGGGCUAGAGUCCGGAAGAGGCGAGUGGAAUUCCCGGUGUAGCGGUGAAAUGCGCAGAUAUCGGGAGGAACACCAAUGGCGAAGGCAGCUCGUCGGAGGACGGUACUGACGCUGAGACGCGAAAGCGUGGGGAGCGAACAGG